rnacentral:rRNA from 1 species
GGGCUUCGCAGGCGGUUUUUUAAGUUCUGAUUGUGAAAGCCCCCCGGCUUAACCGGGGAGGGUCAUUGGAAACUUGGGGAACUUUGAGUGCAGAAGAGGAGAGUGGAAUUUCCACGUGUAGCGGUGAAAUGCGUAGAGAUGUGGAGGAACACCAGUGGCGAAGGCGACUCUCUGGUCUGUAACUGACGCUGAGGAGCGAAAGCGUGGGGAGCGAACAGGAUUAGAUACCCUGGUAGUCCACGCCGUAAACGAUGAGUGCUAAGUGUUAGGGGGUUUCCGCCCCUUAGUGCUGCAGCUAACGCAUUAAGCACUCCGCCUGGGGAGUACGGUCGCAAGACUGAAACUCAAAGGAAUUGACGGGGGCCCGCACAAGCGGUGGAGCAUGUGGUUUAAUUCGAAGCAACGCGAAGAACCUUACCAGGUCUUGACAUCCUCUGACAAUCCUAGAGAUAGGACGUCCCCUUCGGGGGCAGAGUGACAGGUGGUGCAUGGUUGUCGUCAGCUCGUGUCGUGAGAUGUUGGGUUAAGUCCCGCAACGAGCGCAACCCUUGAUCUUAGUUGCCAGCAUUCAGUUGGGCACUCUAAGGUGACUGCCGGUGACAAACCGGAGGAAGGUGGGGAUGACGUCAAAUCAUCAUGCCCCUUAUGACCUGGGCUACACACGUGCUACAAUGGACAGAACAAAGGGCAGCGAAACCGCGAGGUUAAGCCAAUCCCAUCAAUCUGUUCUCAGUUCGGAUCGCAGUCUGCAACUCGACUGCGUGAAGCUGGAAUCGCUAGUAAUCGCGGAUCACA